CAAUGUGGCGUUUACGCGCCGCAGGCUCGAUAUUUCCGUCGCCGUCAUUUCGGACGUCGCGACCCGUUUGGUGUCGGCCUGAGGAGACGUGCGAAAGUUCGUCGACGCGUCGGACUCGUUUCGGCGCGUCGACGAGUGCGCGUUUUAUUCGCUGACUGACUCGCCAGACGGUAUGCAACGGUGGUCGCGGCGGCCUUUGCGCCGCCGUCGAUGCCGGUCUGCGACGAAUCUUCGAGUCUCUUUCCGACCCGUCUUGAAACACGGACCAAGGAGUCUAACAUGCGCGCGAGUCGCGGGGUAUCGAGCGGCCGGUGUUCGCAUCGGCCGUCCGUUAUAAUACGAAACCCGUCUCGUUUUACGAAAGGCGCAAUGAAAGUGAAUUUUGGGGAAGAUGACGUUACCGAGUUCACGUUUCAUAUUCUGAA
rnacentral:rRNA from 1 species